GCUGAAUAUCUCAUAUAUCUGCGGCUCCCAGACAGCUCCACCACUGUGCAGGAGAGCCAUUUUCUUCUCUGCCAAUCUGUCUGGUUUGGCCUACCCUUCCUACUGCUCAGUCCUCUUCCCUUUCCACACCUCCAGUUCUGUGAUAUUUCUCACUUUACUUUGAUCUCCUUCUCCUCUGUCCACAGUGGCACUGAGGGACACCAGGACAUCCAUAUGGUUGGAUUAAAGGUUAACCAUUGACCUAUCAAUGAAAAGAAGUUGCUUUGGACCUGCUUCACUGUACAGCAACUACCGUUUAUACAAUAAAGUGGAAAAGACUACUAUAUGAUAAAAGGCCUGGGGACAGGCCUGUGCAGAGGGAGAAUGUGAUCAGCAAUCAAAAGAGGUUCCUGAGACUGCUGGGAUUUAAGGCAUGCUCCUGAUAGUUGUUCAUUCUUUAGUUGCCCAAAUUCCUCGUAAAGCUUGGGAUAAAGGUUUAAGGCAGACGUUACUUUUGUUGGCUUUCUACCAGUCCUGGAUCCCAGGUCUGCAAAAAGGAGAAGCCCAUGGUCUGAAGAAGCAUUAGUCAGGUCCUGCUUCAACUCAAGCAGGAGUUUAAGGAGUUGCUUCUUUCAUGAGGGCACUUAGCAAUGGCAGAGGCAGGGCUGCUCAGUAGCCCUGUAAAUCUAUUUCAUUGGCACACUUCAAGUCCCUCUGAGCUUUGCUGAGGGGAUUUCACAUGCCUUCCAAGAGCACUUUUCCUCUCUCCUAUUGUUGCACACAGAAAAUGGACACAGUGGAGUUUUCUCUUUGAGCUUAUUUUUCCUUCCAGUGAAACAGAAGUGAGCAUAUCAUUCAGCCAGAGUUGGAUGGCAGCAGUGCCCCUGGCCUGGGACAAUAGUCAGCUCUCAGGAUCAUUGGCUCUGGCCAUUUUUGUGAUGAACUCUUUCAAACACUUUUCCAUCUGUGAAUAUGCAGCCUUUGCUUCUCCAUCUCUGAAUAAUGCCUUGCAUAACAGAAUAUUCUGGAUGGGAACAAAUGAAUCUUCAGGCGGUUCUAGAGAAUGUGAUGCGGAAAACAAUAGGCUGAACCAAAUUUGCUUUCUCCUCCAAACCCUCUUGUGGCUUUUGAUUGUCACUGCCUAUUCAUUUAUUGCUGCUUCUCUCUUGUGGAAUAACUUUGGUCUGUUAACCUGAUUACCUUUGUUGUGCAAUGAUAAAUGACUUCACCCCAGUUGCCAGUAGUCCAUGAUGCCUGGAAAAUAAAUCCGUGAGUCC
rnacentral:lncRNA from 7 species